rnacentral:rRNA from 1 species
AAUACGGAGGGUGCAAACGUUGCUCGGAAUCAUUGGGCGUAAAGCGCGCGUAGGCGGCGAAGCAAGUUGGAUGUGAAAGCCCUGGGCUCAACCUAGGAUGUGCAUACAAAACUGCUUCGCUUGAAUCUCGGAGGGGGUCAGGGAAUUCCCGGUGUAGAGGUGAAAUUCGUAGAUAUCGGGAGGAACACCAGUGGCGAAGGCGCUGACCUGGACGAUGAUUGACGCUGAGGCGCGAAAGCGUGGGGAGCAAACA